AGCGAACGCUGGCGGCAGGCUUAACACAUGCAAGUCGAGCGGGCGUAGCAAUACGUCAGCGGCAGACGGGUGAGUAACGCGUGGGAACGUACCUUUUGGUUCGGAACAACACAGGGAAACUUGUGCUAAUACCGGAUAAGCCCUUACGGGGAAAGAUUUAUCGCCGCAAGAUCGGCCCGCGUCUGAUUAGCUAGUUGGUGAGGUAACGGCUCACCAAGGCGACGAUCAGUAGCUGGUCUGAGAGGAUGAUCAGCCACAUUGGUACUGAGACACGGCCCAAACUCCUACGGGAGGCAGCAGUGGGGAAUAUUGGACAAUGGGGGCAACCCUGAUCCAGCCAUGCCGCGUGAGUGAUGAAGGCCCUAGGGUUGUAAAGCUCUUUUGUGCGGGAAGAUAAUGACGGUACCGAAAGAAUAAGCCCCGGCUAACUUCGUG
rnacentral:rRNA from 1 species